rnacentral:lncRNA from 1 species
AUGAAGAAAAAAAACUGUAUUGAAAUACACCUCAUUCAUGUCCCUGUAAAACUCAUCAUCCUCAUUCAUGUCCCUGUAAAACUAAUCUUCAUUCAUGUCCCUGUAAAACUCAUCAUCCUCAUUCAUGUCCCUGUAAAACUAAUCUUCAUUCAUGUCCCUGUAAAACUAAUCUUCAUUCAUGUCCCUGUAAAACUCAUCAUCUUCAUUCAUGUCCCUGUAAAACUCAUCAUCUUCAUUCAUGUCCCUGUAAAACUCAUCAUCUUCAUUCAUGUCCCUGUAAAACUCAUCAUCCUCAUUCAUGUCCCUGUAAAACUAAUCUUCAUUCAUGUCCCUGUAAAAUGCAUCAUCCACAGUAGUUGGAACUAGUAGAAGACGCUUCCACUGGGAGGUUGAGAUGUUGCAGCUUUGCUGUGAGUUGGUUUGCAGUGGGUAGACCAUGGGGGAGGAUUGGUGGAGAAGGGGGAAGUCAAUCUCUUUCCCCAGGUUAGUCUCUGGCGAUGGCAGGGUGGAGGUUGGAGGAUUUGGGGGUGGCAUUUCUGGGUGAUGACAAAGGCUUUGCCAGGUGGACUCAGAGGGGCAUGGCAUGACAUGGCAGGUGGGGUGUGAGGACCCCUGGGAUACACUGAUGGUGCUCUGCAAUAGGGGGGAGGAGUGUAUUGCGAGUGAUGAUGUAAUAUCUAAUCAUAAUGAAACCAAACCGGAUAUCAGGAUACAUCUAUCGAACAGAAUUUAAAAAAAAUAGUAUAACAAUAAAUUACAUUACCAGUUGGUUAUUAUGUUAUCAAUUGAGGGAUUUAACAGUGAUGUCAAUAUGAUGACAUUAUCGAUAACAAAAAUUGUUACACAG